rnacentral:lncRNA from 1 species
AGCCCUGCAGUCUGAUGAACAUUCUAGAGUAUGUGGACACAGACGGACGCUCUGGCCACAGCUUGUUGACCUGGGACUCGGCAAUGUCCGCCCUCUCCUCCGCCUCAUCCAGCUCGUGCUGCACCUUGCGGAACUUGGACAGCCUCCAGCUCAUUUUCCAGCUCCCGAACCCGGGCCUCCAGCUUCUGCAGCUGCUUCUUGCCGCCCUUGAGCGCGAUCUGCUCUGCCUCAUCCAGACGAUGCUGCAAGUCCUUGAUGGUCUGCUCCAUGUUCUUCUUCAUGCGCUCCAGGUCAUCAUUGGCACGGACAGCAUCAUCCAGCUGGAUUUGAGUGUCCUGAGGAUCAGAAAAAUGAGUGGCCUCAUUGCGGCUGCGUGUCUCCGCAUCCAGGGAGGUCUGCAGGGAGUCCACCAUCCGCAGGUGGUUGCGCUUAGCCUGCUCCAUCUCCUCAUCCUUCUCUGCCAGCUUCCUUUCGAUCUCUGCCUUGAUCUGGUUGAACUCCAGCUGGGCGCGGAGGAUCUUGCCCUCCUCAUGCUCCAGGGAGGCCUGGAAAGGAUAUAGAUUUUGCAGGCUUAUAGUCAGAGACCAGGGUGGAAGCAUGGGUGUGUCUAAAAACCAUGGCACAUUUGGGAAUGGUAUACAUGACUCAGUAGGAGAUGCAGAGGAAGGAAAUGAGAAAAAGUGUGCACAAGAGAAAUGAAAGCAAGCUGAAGAGAAGGGGAUGCAGACUCCCAGGGGGGUGGAGGGAGUCAGCUUUAAAGACAGAGAGGAAAAUGAAAAGUGUUGCCAAGGAAACAGAGGCAAUGAAGCAGAGAGUGAAAGA